rnacentral:rRNA from 1 species
UACGUAGGGUGCGAGCGUUUGUCCGGAAUUAUUGGGCGUAAAGGGCUCGUAGGCGGUUUGUCGCGUCGGGAGUGAAAACCCAGGGCUUAACCCUGGGCUGGCUUCCGAUACGGGCAGACUAGAGGUAUGCAGGGGAGAACGGAAUUCCUGGUGUAGCGGUGAAAUGCGCAGAUAUCAGGAGGAACACCGGUGGCGAAGGCGGGUCUCUGGGACGGUACUGACGCUGAGACGCGAAAGCGUGGGGAGCGAACAGG